ACUCCUACGGGAGGCAGCAGUGGGGAAUAUUGCACAAUGGGCGCAAGCCUGAUGCAGCCAUGCCGCGUGUAUGAAGAAGGCCUUCGGGUUGUAAAGUACUUUCAGCAGUGAGGAAGGUGGGUAUGUUAAUAGCAUAUUCAUUUGACGUUAGCUGCAGAAGAAGCACCGGCUAACUCCGUGCCAGCAGCCGCGGUAAUACGGAGGGUGCGAGCGUUAAUCGGAAUUACUGGGCGUAAAGCGCAUGCAGGUGGUUUGUUAAGUCAGAUGUGAAAGCCCGGGGCUCAACCUCGGAAUUGCAUUUGAAACUGGCAAACUAGAGUACUGUAGAGGGGGGUAGAAUUUCAGGUGUAGCGGUGAAAUGCGUAGAGAUCUGAAGGAAUACCGGUGGCGAAGGCGGCCCCCUGGACAGAUACUGACACUCAGAUGCGAAAGCGUGGGGAGCAAACAGGAUUAGAUCCCUGGUAGGCUCUGC
rnacentral:rRNA from 1 species